AGCGAACGCUGGCGGCAGGCCUAACACAUGCAAGUCGAACGAACCUUUCGGGGUUAGUGGCGGACGGGUGAGUAACACGUGGGAACGUGCCUUUAGGUUCGGAAUAACUCAGGGAAACUUGUGCUAAUACCGAAUGUGCCCUUCGGGGGAAAGAUUUAUCGCCUUUAGAGCGGCCCGCGUCUGAUUAGCUAGUUGGUUGAGGUAAUGGCUCACCAAGGCGACGAUCAGUAGCUGGUCUGAGAGGAUGAUCAGCCACAUUGGGACUGAGACACGGCCCAAACUCCUACGGGAGGCAGCAGUGGGGAAUCUUGCGCAAUGGGCGAAAGCCUGACGCAGCCAUGCCGCGUGAAUGAUGAAGGUCUUAGGAUUGUAAAAUUCUUUCACCGGGGACAAUAAUGACGGUACCCGGAGAAGAAGCCCCGGCUAACUUCGUG
rnacentral:rRNA from 1 species